GUUAGCCUAAGAUUACAUAUCCGCGUUUUUCUCGACGUAGUUUGGUGUCUAUUUAGUUCUCGUCUUUAUUUGGCGUCGCGAAUUACAGAGAAAUACCACAUGCCUUGCACGUGGCUAAGGAUGCGUGCAAAUGUUUGGGGGAAAAAACCACCCCACUCCUCUUUCUCUCUCUUCUUCGUCUUCUACUCUUCUCUCAGCCCGCACCACUCUCUCACUUCUCAACCUCGAAAGUUCUAGAUCUACUCCCAUGCUCUAAGAUUCCGCCCCAAUUUCAAGUGGAGCAAACUAUUGACGAAAUUCAAAGACUUUGAGAUAGCUUGAGAGGGUGCUGGAAAUUGCAGGCCAUUGCUGCCUCUGGAGCUGUUAAACACAAGGAUAUUGAAGCUCUUGUGGAAAAACAUUUUAAAAGUUGUCAACAGAUCCAAAUGUUGUCGCCUCGAUGGUUAUGUGGACAAUCAAAAUGGGGUUCCUGGACCAAAAUUGAUGGUGGCGGAAUGUGUAUGGGUUUAAAGCCGGGGAUGUGCGUGUGUUGGCUAGUGCUUCCUUCAUUUUAGUAAAGAAGGAGUGGUCUUCUGAAAUACGGCUGCAUGCAUUCAAAAUGCUUCAGGUUAUUGCUAGAUCCCCCCUCCCCCUCUCAAGUUUUUGUCUAGUUUUUAAUUUGAUUUUUUUUAAUCAUCUUUAUCCGUUACGUUAAUAAAGCAGAAGAUGGAUGUCAUUGUACAAUUCUUACCUCCUUUAAGAUCAAUGAUGCAGUGACAUUGAUAAUUGAUCAAUGUACAACCAAAGUUUGUAGUUUGUUUCUUUUCAAAACAUUUGUAUAUACCUAAUGGUUUUCCAACACUAUGCUGUUUGUCAAGUGUAAUCUGUAAGCUGGGAAUGGCAUUUUCAGCAGAGGCUAGAG